rnacentral:misc_RNA from 1 species
GACCUAUUGUGACGACGAUCAUCUCCUCCUUUGACCAUCGCCAUCUCCACUUAUCAUGCCGGUGGACAUCUCUGAAGGGGUUUAUCCGGCAGCGUUUCCUGCUCCUUGGACGUCAGAUCAGCAUACCCAUGUUUUUCAAUUGUCUUCUUCGAAUCUUCUCAAAGUCAAAAAAGGAGAUAUCACCAAAUGGUUCGUGGAUGGCCGCUCUGACGCUAUUGUUAAUCCGACAAAUAUAUUUAUGCUUCCAGGUGGAAUAAGCGUGGAUACAGCUAUACACAAAGCAGCCGGAACACAACUCGGAAUUGCAUGCAAUGACAUCCCUGAAGUCGAACCUGGAGUCCGUUGCCCAACUGGAGAAGCAAGAAUUACGCCGGGUUUCAAAUUGCCUGCAUCUUGCGUGAUUCACACUGUUGGCCCCGUCUAUUAUUUUGAAAGGAACCCUGUAGCCUCCCUAAGAAAUGCUUACAG